rnacentral:rRNA from 1 species
AAUAGAUACCCUGGUAGUCCACCCCGUAAACGUUGGGAACUAGUUGUGGGGUCCUUUCCACGGAUUCCGUGACGCAGCUAACGCAUUAAGUUCCCCGCCUGGGGAGUACGGCCGCAAGGCUAAAACUCAAAGGAAUUGACGGGGACCCGCACAAGCGGCGGAGCAUGCGGAUUAAUUCGAUGCAACGCGAAGAACCUUACCAAGGCUUGACAUACACCAGAACACCCUAGAAAUAGGGGACUCUUUGGACACUGGUGAACAGGUGGUGCAUGGUUGUCGUCAGCUCGUGUCGUGAGAUGUUGGGUUAAGUCCCGCAACGAGCGCAACCCUCGUUCUAUGUUGCCAGCACGUAAUGGUGGGAACUCAUGGGAUACUGCCGGGGUCAACUCGGAGGAAGGUGGGAUGACGUCAAAUCAUCAUGCCCCUUAUGUCUUGGGCUUCACGCAUGCUACAAUGGCCGGUACAAAGGGCUGCAAUACCGUGAGGUGGAGCGAAUCCCAAAAAGCCGGUCCAGUUCGGAUUGAGGUCUGCAACUCGA